CAAAAUCAGCAGGGAAAGAAGACCUUGUUGAGCUUGACUCUAGUCAGACUCUGUGAAGAGAUAUGGCGGGUGAAAUAAUCAGUGGGAGGCGGAAAUCACCACUCGGGGUCUCUGGUUCGACAAUGAACGACCACUCCCAUCAUUGUUUCUUUACUUUUUCAGUGAAGCGUGAACUGUCAAUUAUUUUCCAUGUUGACAUUAAGCACACGUUAGUGCGUUGGUCGCACCCCGUAUGUGGCUGGCGUGCAGGCGUCUUGGUCGCAACUGUCUGGCCAGAGCUAGUGAUAUGCGUGUUUUGCCCUCUACUGCCUGUAGGCUGUUGCCACAAGGUGGCAUUCCAUAGUUGGUAGACGGUGGGCGCGUGUGUCAUGUCUUGGUGCUAUCAGGCAGGUUUGGCGACGUGCGACACGAUCUGAAGACAGUGUCCGGCGGGGAGUUUGACUGGCGGUGGUACAUCUGUCAAAUUUUAACGCAGGUGUAACAAGGUGAGCUCAGCCAAGACACAAACCUUGCGAAGAGUAAUAUGGCAAAAGCUUACUUAAUUUUGAUUCUUACUACGAAUACAGGCCGUGAAAGCAUGGCCUAGGGAUCCUUUUGAUCAACUGAUAUUCAGAUUUCGAAACAAGCGUUGUCAGAAAAGAUACCACAGGGGUUACUGGCUUUUAGCGGCCAAGCGUUCAUAGCGACUUCUUUUUUAUCCUUCGAUGUCAUCUCUUCCUAUCAUUGAAGAGCAGAAUUCCCCAAGCGUUGAAUUGUUCACCCAUUAAUAGGGAACGGUAGCUGGGUUAAGAAGGUCGUGAGAAAGUUUACUUUUUCCCUACUGAUGGUUGAACUGUGUAAACAGUGAAGUGCAAUCUGGCCGUUUCAAUGGUAAUCCUGUUUAGUUCGAGAGGAACCGCAGCUUCAGACAUUUGGUACAUGUGCCUGGUCAAACGGCCAAUGGUGCGAAGUCACCACCUGAGGGAUUAAGAGUGAACGCUUCUAAGUCGGAAUUCCAUCCAAAGAUGCGCAACGAUACAGCUUGGCUUGUAAGGUGGUUGGGCAGAUAUAGUACUUUGCAGUUUGGUUUAAUUCGGAUAAGGCAAGCGUGCCCUACCGAACCUGGUCAGUUCGGUUAUGUUAUGCCAGAACUUUGACCGGGACAUGGUGUUGUGGGUGUCGACAAGAUAUCCAAUUGAGGUAUGUGCGUGACGGCACUAAAUCUUUUGAAGAUUACUUAAUGUUUUGUCGGGAAGACGUGCGAAUUCGAGCAGCUAUCACACUGCGAUGUAUUAAGUCCUAUCCCUACCCGAAGUGAGGAUUU
rnacentral:ncRNA from 1 species